AGUAUUACUGCGAGUCGAAGAGUGUGAAAACUCAGAGGCGUAGUGAAAGCAAAAAUUUGAAGAUUGAUUGAAUGAUUGCAAAUUGAGGAGGUGUUGCGUUUUUGACAAAGCAUCUUACCUAGAGCAGUAAUGCUGAGACCCGAAAGAUGGUGAACUAUGCUUGAGUAGGGCAAAGCCAGAGGAAACUCUGGUGGAGGCUCGUAGCGAUGCUGACGUGCAAAUCGCUCGUCGAACUUGAGUAUAGGGGCGAAAGACUAAUCGAACCAUCUAGUAGCUGGUUCCCUCCGAAGUUUCUCUCAGGAUAGCAGGCUGACAUUAGUAAAUUGUUUUGUGUGGUAAAGCGAAUGAUUAGCGUAUUUGGGAAAGUAAUUUUUUCGGUCGAUUCUCAAACUUUAAAUACGCAAGGCGAAGGAGUGUGUUGCUUAAUUGAACCUCCUACGCAUAGAAAGAAAAAAAUAAUAAUAUUGAAAUGUAGGAGAAACACAACACACNNNUUAUGUGAUGGUAUNUGUGUGNUGUGUUGUUGUUNUUGGUAGUACAAUAUAUAUAUUUAUGAAAAUUGAAAAUGUCNNCCUAGUGGNCCACUUUUGGUAAGCAGAACGGGCGAUAUGGGAUGAACCAUGAGUUUGGUUANGGCGUCAAAAUNUNGGNNUNAAGAUCCCACAAAAGGUGUUGGUUCAUCUAGACAGCAGGACGGUGGCCAUGGAAGUCGGAAUC
rnacentral:rRNA from 1 species